GUAUUGAUCGCGCAUUAUCGCGCAAAGGACAUUCUACUACCGUAUUCAAAUGGGUGUCUGUGUUAAAACGCAAGCACCCCUUUCGAGAAAGGGGGUCCCACGCGGUGAUGCACAAAGGGUGAGAUGGACAUGUGUGAGAACACUCGAGCGUGCACGACCUUUCAACAAAGUCAGCGACAGCCCUCGUGCCUCCAUUGUACGAUAAUGAUCCUUCCGCAGGUUCACCUACGGAAA
rnacentral:misc_RNA from 1 species